GACGUGUGUGUGUGUGUGUGUGUGUGUGUGUGUGUGUGUGUGUGUGUGUGUGUCCUCCAGCUGACCCACCCACCUGGACCCGCCCACCUCAGG
rnacentral:pre_miRNA from 1 species